UUUCAGUUAUAAGUAGUAGUGCCGCAGGUAACCGCCAGUCUAAAAGGCUUACCUACUGCCUUCUGCUUAAAAUUGAAA
rfam:Caenorhabditis elegans chromosome II